rnacentral:rRNA from 1 species
GCAUAUCAAUAAGCGGAGGAAAAGAAACCAACAGGGAUUGCCCCAGUAACGGCGAGUGAAGCGGCAACAGCUCAAAUUUGAAAUCUGGCCCCUAGGGGUCCGAGUUGUAAUUUGUAGAGGAUGCUUUUGGCAAGGUGCCGCCCGAGUUCCCUGGAACGGGACGCCACAGAGGGUGAGAGCCCCGUCUGGCUGGCCACCGAGCCUCUGUAAAGCUCCUUCGACGAGUCGAGUAGUUUGGGAAUGCUGCUCAAAAUGGGAGGUAUAUGUCUUCUAAAGCUAAAUACUGGCCAGAGACCGAUAGCGCACAAGUAGAGUGAUCGAAAGAUGAAAAGCACCUUGAAAAGAGGGUUAAAUAGUACGUGAAAUUGUUGAAAGGGAAGCGCUUGUGACCAGACUUGGGCGCGGCGGAUCAUCCGGGGUUCUCCCCGGUGCACUUCGCCGCGUCCAGGCCAGCAUCAGUUCGUCGCGGGGGAAAAAGGCUUCGGGAACGUGGCUCCUCCGGGAGUGUUAUAGCCCGUCGCACAAUACCCUGCUUCGGACUGAGGACCGCGCUUCGGCAAGGAUGCUGGCGUAAUGGUCACCAACGACCCGUCUUGAAACACGGACCAAGGAGUCGUCUUCGUAUGCGAGUGUUCGGGUGUCAAACCCCUACGCGGAAUGAAAGUGAACGCAGGUGAGAGCUUCGGCGCAUCAUCGACCGAUCCUGAUGUUCUCGGAUGGAUUUGAGUAAGAGCAUACGGGGCCGGACCCGAAAGAAGGUGAACUAUGCCUGUAUAGGGUGAAGCCAGAGGAAACUCUGGUGGAGGCUCGCAGCGGUUCUGACGUGCAAAUCGAUCGUCAAAUAUGGGCAUGGGGGGCGAAAGACUAAUCGAACCUUCUAGUAGCUGGUUUCCGCCGAAG